rnacentral:misc_RNA from 1 species
CAAAAGACAUGUGUGCGUGGACAGCACACCGACAAAUUGCGCGUGCGACCCACACCCACCACGACUACGUGCUUCCCCUUCUCUCGGGCCUCCGCUGCCGCAUCGUCACAUCCUUGUGGUGUUCGCUUUCUCUGCUAUACCUCACUUCACUGUCACAGCUGGGACAUCCAUACAUGUAAACGCACAACCGCCGCCCCUCCCCCUCCACCCCGCUACGCUCCAUUCGCACGGCCCUCUCCCCCUCCAUCCCCUGCGCGUGUGCGUGUGUGUAGAACCUUUUCGAAACGCAGUUUUCAGGAGUGCGUCCGCCCUCAAGAGACAGAAAACAAAGAAAGACGUAUACCUAUAUACGCAAGCCCCUCCCGCACAGACAAGCAUUGCCCACUACACGCGCAGACGAAGACAGACAGACACAGACACACGCACACACACGCAGAUUCACCAGGUCCAUUCGCAGACGCACUUGCAGAUCUCUUGUCGCGUUUUUCCCUCUCCUUUUCGGCCCCCGUCCGCUUGAAGAGUUAAACACGGUUGGUGGUAGCCGCCCACGCAUUGUGGCACCACUCGCAUUCACGCAAGCGCAGACAACUAGACAAGGUGCCCCGUGCGUGCAUAUCGAUCCUCCCCCCCCCUCCGCCUAAGCUGGCGAAGUGCCUUUGCGGAGUGCCGUCGCUGCUGGAGUGCGUCGGGUACACGUGUUCCUCAAGCACACGCGCGCGACAGCGACGCACAAGCACGCAUACAGAGAUAUAUAUGCACAUAUAAGAACGGAUCUUGUGACAGUUAACGCUUCUGCUGCUGCUGCAGUGGACAGCGACACAUCGUGCAGAUACGAAAAGACGCGCUUGACGAGUUACAAAUAGAAGCAGCGCGUGAACGGCACUGGCCAUCAGCGCAGUGCUAUUCACAUCUCACCCACCCACCCACUCAUCCCUCUCCCGAUCCUGCCCGAAG